rnacentral:rRNA from 1 species
GGCUCAGAUUGAACGCUGGCGGCAGGCCUAACACAUGCAAGUCGAACGGUAACAGGAAGCAGCUUGCUGCUUCGCUGACGAGUGGCGGACGGGUGAGUAAUGUCUGGGAAACUGCCUGAUGGAGGGGGAUAACUACUGGAAACGGUAGCUAAUACCGCAUAAUGUCGCAAGACCAAAGAGGGGGACCUUCGGGCCUCUUGCCAUCGGAUGUGCCCAGAUGGGAUUAGCUUGUUGGUGGGGUAACGGCUCACCAAGGCGACGAUCCCUAGCUGGUCUGAGAGGAUGACCAGCCACACUGGAACUGAGACACGGUCCAGACUCCUACGGGAGGCAGCAGUGGGGAAUAUUGCACAAUGGGCGCAAGCCUGAUGCAGCCAUGCCGCGUGUAUGAAGAAGGCCUUCGGGUUGUAAAGUACUUUCAGCGGGGAGGAAGGGAGUAAAGUUAAUACCUUUGCUCAUUGACGUUACCCGCAGAAGAAGCACCGGCUAACUCCGUGCCAGCAGCCGCGGUAAUACGGAGGGUGCAAGCGUUAAUCGGAAUUACUGGGCGUAAAGCGCACGCAGGCGGUUUGUUAAGUCAGAUGUGAAAUCCCCGGGCUCAACCUGGGAACUGCAUCUGAUACUGGCAAGCUUGAGUCUCGUAGAGGGGGGUAGAAUUCCAGGUGUAGCGGUGAAAUGCGUAGAGAUCUGGAGGAAUACCGGUGGCGAAGGCGGCCCCCUGGACGAAGACUGACGCUCAGGUGCGAAAGCGUGGGGAGCAAACAGGAUUAGAUACCCUGGUAGUCCACGCCGUAAACGAUGUCGACUUGGAGGUUGUGCCCUUGAGGCGUGGCUUCCGGAGCUAACGCGUUAAGUCGACCGCCUGGGGAGUACGGCCGCAAGGUUAAAACUCAAAUGAAUUGACGGGGGCCCGCACAAGCGGUGGAGCAUGUGGUUUAAUUCGAUGCAACGCGAAGAACCUUACCUGGUCUUGACAUCCAUGGAAGUUUUCAGAGAUGAGAAUGUGCCUUCGGGAACCGUGAGACAGGUGCUGCAUGGCUGUCGUCAGCUCGUGUUGUGAAAUGUUGGGUUAAGUCCCGCAACGAGCGCAACCCUUAUCCUUUGUUGCCAGCGGUCCGGCCGGGAACUCAAAGGAGACUGCCAGUGAUAAACUGGAGGAAGGUGGGGAUGACGUCAAGUCAUCAUGGCCUUUACGACCAGGGCUACACACGUGCUACAAUGGCGCAUACAAAGAGAAGCGACCUCGCGAGAGCAAGCGGACCUCAUAAAGUGCGUCGUAGUCCGGAUUGGUGUCUGCAACUCGACUCCAUGAAGUCGGAAUCGAUAGUAAUCGUGGAUCAGAAUGCCACGGUGAAUACGUUCCCGGGCCUUGUACACACCGCCCGUCACACCAUGGGAGUGGGUUGCAAAAGAAGUAGGUAGCUUAACAUUCGGGAGGGCGCUUACCACUUUGUGAUUCAUGAC